rnacentral:lncRNA from 1 species
AAAAAUGUCUAAAGAACCAAAACAGAUUCAAUGCAGUGACGGCAGAAAGUGUAUGGGCAUGAAGAUUCAAAGAAAAAGAUGCGGCCGUUGAAAGAUUUAUAUGCUCCUUUGCUCCAGGAGAAAUCUCUUGAGACCUCACUCAGAGUGCACAUCCUUACCACAGUACAAGGCUAAUGAGCUUGGAUCGAUGGUGUUCUCAGCCCAGUGGACUGAAAACAAUAGAUUGAAGAUUUGUGGCAACCCUGUGACUACCAACUCUAUUGAAACCAUUUCUCCAAUAGCAUGAGCUCACUUCAGGUCUUUGUAUCACAUUUUCAUAAUUCUCACAAUAUUUCAAAUUUAUUAUUAUUAUUAUA